rnacentral:ncRNA from 1 species
AAUAAAAUUAUUUAUGGUUUAAAAAUUUAUUAUAAAUUUAUUUUACAUAUAAAUUUUAGUGUUAAUUUUUAAUUUAUUUAAAUAAUAAUUAAUAUUAUUUGUAGUAAUUAAAAUUAAAAAUUUAAGUAAUUAAGAUUUAGUAAUAUUUAAAUUAAUAACAAAUUUUGUGCCAGCAGUUGCGGUUAUACAAAAAUUAAAUUAAAUUUUUUUAGGAAUUAAUUAAUAAUAGAUUAUAUAAUAAAAUUAAAAUUUAAAUUAUUAAGUGAAAUUUUAAUUUAUGAAAAUUUUAUAUUGAAUUAUGAAUUAAAAAAUUUUAUUAAAAACUAGGAUUAGAUACCCUAUUAUUAAAAAUUUAAAUUAAUAAUACUAAAAUAGUAUAUAAUUAUUUAUAAAAACUUAAAUAAUUUGGCGGUAUUUUAGUUUAUUUAGAGGAAUCUGUUUAUUAAUUGAUAUUCCACGAAUAAAUUUACUUAAUUUAUUUAAUUUUGUAUAUCGUUGUUAAAAAAAUAUUUUAAAAUAAUAAUAAUAUUUUAAUUUUUAUAUUAAAAGUUAAAUCAGAUCAAGAUGCAGAUUAUAAUUAAGAAUAUAAUGGAUUACAAUAAAUUUAUUUAAUUGGAUGUUAUUUUUAAAAAUUAAUUGAAAUUGGAUUUAAAUGUAAUUUUAUUUAAUUUAUUAAAAUGAUUUUAAUUUAAAAUAUGUACAUAUUGCCCGUCGCUUUCAUUAAUAAAUUGAAAUAAGUCGUAACAAAGUAGAGGUACUGGAAAGUGUUUCUAGAAAGAG